rnacentral:ncRNA from 1 species
GAUGAGGAAGGGCGUAGCAAGUGACGAAAUGCUUUGGGGAGUUGAAAAUAAGCAUAGAUCCGAAGAUUCCCAAAUAGGUCAACCUUUUACACUACCUGUUGAAUCCAUGAGCAGGCAAGAGACAACCUGGUGAACUAAAACAUCUUAGUAACAAGAGGAAAAGAGAGGAAAAGCAAUUCCCGUAGUAGCGGCGAGCGAAAUUGGAGCAGCCUAAACCGUGAAAACGGGGUUGUGGGAGAGCAAUACAAGCGUUGUGCUGCUAGGGAAGCGGUUGAGUGCCGCACCCUAGAUGGCUAAAGUCCAGUAGUCGAAAGCAUCACUAACACAAAAAAGAAUAAAUAAGACAAGAUUC